AUGGUUCGAGAGGAGGUAGCAGGAUCCACUCAAACACUACAGUGGAAGUGUGUUGAAUCAAGAGUAGAUAGUAAGUGCCUUUAUUAUGGUCGUUUCAUUCUGUCCCCGCUUAGAAAAGGUCAAGCGGACACCGUCGGUAUUGCCUUGCGAAGAGCUUUACUUGGAGAAAUAGAAGGAACAUGUAUCACACGUGCAAAAUUUGGGAGCGUGCCGCACGAGUAUUCUACGAUAGCAGGUAUUGAAGAAUCCGUACAAGAAAUUUUACUAAAUUUGAAAGAAAUUGUAUUGAGAAGUAAUCUCUAUGGAGUUAGAGACGCAUCCAUUUGCGUCAAAGGUCCUAGAUACAUAACUACUCAAGAUAUCAUCUUACCGCCUUCCAUAGAAAUCGUUGAUACGGCACAACCUAUAGCUAACUUGACAGAGCCCAUUGAUUUCUGUAUUGAUUUCCAGAUCAAGAGAGAUCGUGGAUAUCAGACAGAACUCAGAAAGAACUAUCAAGAUGGAAGUUAUCCUAUAGAUGCUGUAUCCAUGCCUGUUCAAAAUGUGAAUUAUAGUAUUUUUUUCUUGUAG
rnacentral:rRNA from 1 species